rnacentral:ncRNA from 2 species
UAAUUACAUUAGGGGUGUCCGUUUACCGGACUGAGAUACGGCCAGAGCCGUGGACUCUAGAACCUGUCAAGUUGAUACUUGCGAAGGAAAAUGUGCGUUUAAACCA